rnacentral:rRNA from 1 species
GACGUAGGGCGCGAGCGUUGUCCGGAUUUAUUGGGCGUAAAGAGCUCGUAGGCGGUUCGGUUAGUCAGAUGUGAAAACUCCGGGCUCAACUCGGAGAGGCCAUCUGAUACUGCCGUGACUGGAGUUCGGUAGAGGAGUGUGGAAUUCCCGGUGUAGCGGUGAAAUGCGCAGAUAUCGGGAGGAACACCAGCGGCGAAGGCGGCACUCUGGGCCGAUACUGACGCUGAGGAGCGAAAGCGUGGGGAGCGAACAGG